rnacentral:rRNA from 1 species
CAUGCAAGUCGAGGGGCAGCGGAGAGGUAGCAAUACCUUUGCCGGCGACCGGCGCACGGGUGAGUAACACGUAUGCAAUCCACCUGUAACAGGGGGAUAACCCGGAGAAAUCCGGACUAAUACCCCAUAAUAUGGGUUCUCCGCAUGGAGGGUCCAUUAAAGAGAGCAAUUUUGGUUACAGACGAGCAUGCGCUCCAUUAGCCAGUUGGCGGGGUAACGGCCCACCAAAGCGACGAUGGAUAGGGGUUCUGAGAGGAAGGUCCCCCACAUUGGAACUGAGACACGGUCCAAACUCCUACGGGAGGCAGCAGUGAGGAAUAUUGGUCAAUGGUCGGCAGACUGAACCAGCCAAGUCGCGUGAGGGAAGACGGCCCUACGGGUUGUAAACCUCUUUUGUCGGAGAGUAAAGUACGCUACGUGUAGCGUAUUGCAAGUAUCCGAAGAAAAAGCAUCGGCUAACUCCGUGCCAGCAGCCGCGGUAAUACGGAGGAUGCAAGCGUUAUCCGGAUUUAUUGGGUUUAAAGGGUGCGUAGGCGGCACGCCAAGUCAGCGGUGAAAUUUCCGGGCUCAACCCGGACUGUGCCGUUGAAACUGGCGAGCUAGAGUGCACAAGAGGCAGGCGGAAUGCGUGGUGUAGCGGUGAAAUGCAUAGAUAUCACGCAGAACCCCGAUUGCGAAGGCAGCCUGCUAGGGUGCGACAGACGCUGAGGCACGAAAGCGUGGGUAUCGAACAGGAUUAGAUACCCUGGUAGUCCACGCAGUAAACGAUGAAUACUAACUGUUUGCGAUACAAUGUAAGCGGUACAACGAAAGCGUUAAGUAUUCCACCUGGGG